UACGGGGGGGGCAAGCGUUGUUCGGAAUUACUGGGCGUAAAGGGCUCGUAGGCGGCCAACUAAGUCGGAUGUGAAAUCCCCAGGCUCAACCUGGGAACUGCAUCCGAUACUGGAUGGCUUGAAUUCGGGAGAGGGAUGCAGAAUUCCAGGUGUAGCGGUGAAAUGCGUAGAUAUCUGGAGGAAUACCGGUGGCGAAGGCGGCUCACUGGCCCGAUACUGACGCUGAGGCACGAAAGCGUGGGGAGCAAACAGG
rnacentral:rRNA from 1 species